ACACCUAAAAAUCGAGUUUUUUAUUAUUUUGAUAUGAGUUGUAAUUAACCACGGAUGCCGUUUACAAUCUUGGUCGACUCUCAUCCGUCAUGUCAGCGUGUAUUAGCCACGCAUGCAUGUCACAUCAUCGUUAAUGUUCUAGAUCAACAAAAUAGAAACUAAAAAAAUAAAUAUGUUGGAGAUGAUGGUGAUCCUAAGAAGAGACGCCGAUUUUGGUGGUUAGUUUGGGGUGCUACUGCUAUAAAUAGCAGAUCAGCAGCUGAAGCAAAACUCAGAACUAACUAGCAUGGAGGUGUAGCAGGCUUCCCAUUCCAUGUAUACCUUGCUGCUGCAGAGACUCGCUGUAUGAACACUACACGGACGAGUUGGUGAACAGGACAGCAUUCUACGCUUUCCCCACAUUCCAACAGCAAAAUGCUAUCUUGGUCAACUUCUCGUGCGGCAGAGCGUUCAGGGAGAAGAGCUACUCGGUGAAAUCCGAAACCUACAUGGAGACAAGAGAAGGGAACAAAAAUGACCAAAUCUCAAACGCAUAAGAAACAGAAAGAACACAGUGAGAGACAGAUUCUUCCCUGAGAUUGCACUUUAACAGGCAGAUGGGAUGAAAUCAAGCCUUUUACCAAUUCACUACUACUAGGCAAGAAUCAACAAAACACAAAAUGAAAUCAAGCCAUUGGUGUCAAGGUGGUUGCGCAAAUACGAAAUGGCUUGAGCACUCAGCAUGUUACUCUAGUGUUAGUCUUGUUUUAGUUCAUUGGCACUCGCAUAUUACUCCCGCGUCAUUAUAUUUGUCAGCCACUAAAUUUAAAGCCAUGCCAGUGCAAUUAACAGUAGUAUGCCUGGAAUUGAUGGAUCUAGGAGGAAACGAACAAAUUCCCUCAAUGUUUCAUCCAUAAUAAAUGGAUGGAUACAAUAAUAUUUAGUGGUCAACAUGAUUGCUUAUUAAAUGGUAGCUUGCAUAUUUUAAGUCCUUUUACGUACUACUUGUAUAAAAAGUCAAGUGGACCGUUAAAAAAAAAUUAAAGAACAUAAUAUGCACUAAAAAUAUAACAAUUGUAUGCAUUCUUUAUGAAGUUAAUUUGUAUACCCUUUUUACAUAUAACUUAUGAUAUACACUUUUAUGUACAUAAUAUGUAUACACGGUAUACAAAUGGUAUACAACGGAAAAUUCAAGAUCACUAAGCUGGAUUGGAAAAAAGUUAAAACACACUAAAUCGGAGAUAAAAAAAAUAUUAAUAUAUCUAUAAUUAUAAGAAAAAAACACAUAGUAUCCAAAUUUCAGAUUUAAAAAGUGAGUUAAAUCAAGGUAUGAAAAGAGCCCCUUAGCCACUACUGAGUAUGAAAGUGCGUAUAAAGAAGCACUAGGUAUGAAGUGUGUUUUAAGUGAGUAUAAAGUGUAAUAUAUUUCGUGAUUUUAUUAAUGAUCUUACUUUAUUGAUGCAUAUCUUGUAUCGAAUAUAUAGACUACCACCACUAACAUACUGAAAAGUUAGCAUUUUUAUUUAAAGAAGAACUAGGAUCAAUAUCUCUCCACAUUCCACUCAACCAUUUCCAGCUGCUUUCAAUGAAGCCUGAUUUUAUGACAUAAUAUUAACAUUAACACCAAUGUUAUUGUACCUUUUGAGUUGAGUUCUUUCAACCACACGCACCAUGACAUUUUCCAGAAAACACCAACGCACCAAAACUGAAAACACUUCUUCUUCCAUAUGGCAACUUCUUCCUGCAACUCAAAUCUGACAGAACAAACUCCACUUGAGCUUUCCAUCUAUGAUAUAAUUCUGACAAAACGGCAGUGGGUGAACGAGAAUCAAACGUCAGUGAUACAAGGUAAUGGAUUAAAGAAAGUUAAUUAGUGGACCGUUAAAGACUAAGGCAAAAAGUAAGAAGAAUCUAAUCCAUCCACUGAAAAUAUAAAAGUUUUUCUGAGCUCUGAAGAGCUUGGAAAGCGCAAAAAGAUGGCUCACAUUUUCAAUUUGGAGGUGGGAAUUCAAUGCUGACCAUUUGUCUUGACCAGUCCCUUAAAGUGUCCAUUUCUUUCCCAACAACUUGUGCUAAAUUAAUAAGCAGAUACGAAUUUCCACGCUUCUGCUGUCUUCCUCCUGAAAUUUCAUAAUAGGAGAAAAAAUCCAAUGAUCAGCCAAGCAUAAACUACCUACCCCCCAUUAUAUUAAUUUCCAGGAACAAGCCAAAAAUAGAUAACGCAUUCCCCUAAAAUUUACCAAAAUUUUCUAUCAUCGUUAUGGCCACCACCCCCUGCGUAUCCAACUGAUUUCAGCAAUCCACCAUUAUUUUAGAUACACAACUGAUUGAGCAGCAAGCUAAGCCUCACCCAAUUCGUUAAACAGAGAUGAACUCUACAUCCACCGGAGUCCCCGCCGUUUAUCUCUGUCUCUUCUUCCUCUCUUUCUUUCUCAAGGUGACAUUCGUUGACUCAACGGCUGCUUUGACUAGUAUUGACACAGACAGAGAAGCCUUGC
rnacentral:lncRNA from 1 species